AGGUUCUUGGUCUGGAAAAUGGAGGUUCUGUUCCUGCUCACCCUGCAGGACCCGGGAGGGUCAGACUGGAAAUGGUCAAGCGCAGAACUCCGUCGGGCUCUGUCAAUGAUGCUCCAAGAUGCAGAGAAACAACGCGGCCGCAGGACCGCUGCCCCGCCUCUUCGGGACCCGGAUGCCUGUCAAAGCGGAAGGACUGUCCGAGUCAUUCACAAAGCGAGAAAUCAGUAGUGCCGCCGGCGCCCGUUAGCUUCUUCGGCCUCCCCUGCCGCAUCUGUGCUGGCCGUAGCUUGGCCUGGCCCGGUCCUGGCUGAUGAGAGUGCGGCCUGGUGUACCCCAGAACUGCCCGGACAGCGGGCCCCUGGUGCUGGUACCAUCGCCGCAGGUCUGGAGCCGCAGGUCCCCACUAGAAAGCCAUAUUCUGUGUCCCGGUGGUUGAGCUGCUGGUCUGGGUUUUAUGUUAAGAACCCACCGUGGUCCUCUGCCCCAUGGGGCAAAGGAAUUCAGGAAAUGUGCGUGCGGAGUUGUUCUAACGUGGUGAGCUGUGUGGUCCUGCACCAGUGACAGUCCGGUCUGUCCUUGGGGGUCUUCUCAGCUUGCAGGAUCUUUUUGGUUAAAAUGCUGCAAAUUGAAGGUAUAAAAAGACCAGAAACUGUUCUCA